ensembl:miRNA Mir8118 microRNA 8118
ACAAGCUAAAACAAGUCCCCAUUCCUGUGUCGGCAUAGUCAUGUUUGUGCUUUGAUAAACAACAGGGAGUAGGACAAACAUGACUAUGCUGACACUAGAAUGCUUGCAGGGACCAGAGGAAAGCAUCAG